GAUGAACGCUGGCGGCGUGCUUAACACAUGCAAGUAGAACGAUGAAGCCCAGCUUGCUGGGUGGUUUAGUGGCGAACGGGUGAGUAACACGUGAGUAACCUGCCCUUAACUCUGGGAUAAGCCUGGGAAACUGGGUCUAAUACCGGAUAGGAGCGUCCACCGCAUGGUGGGUGUUGGAAAGAUUUAUCGGUUUUGGGUGGACUCGCGGCCUAUCAGCUUGUUGGUGAGGUAAUGGCUCACCAAGGCGACGACGGGUAGCCGGCCUGAGAAGGUGACCGGCCACACUGGGACUGAGACACGGCCCAGGCGCCUACGGGAGGCAGCAGUGGGGAAUAUUGCACAAUGGGCGCAAGCCUGAUGCAGCGGCGCCGCGUGAGGGAAGACGGCCUUCUGGUUGUAAACCUCUUUCAGUAGAGAAGAAGCGAAAGUGACGGUACCUGCAGAAGAAGCACCGGCUAACUACGUG
rnacentral:rRNA from 1 species